GGACUACUGGGGUAUCUAAUCCUGUUUGCUCCCCACGCUUUCGCGCCUCAGCGUCAAUGUCGGUCCAGUUGGCCGCCUUCGCCACGGAUAUUCUUCCCAAUAUCUACGAAUUUCACCUCUACACUGGGAAUUCCACCAACCUCUACCGAAUUCAAGUAAAACAGUCUUGAGUGCAGUUCCAGGGUUGAGCCCUGGGCUUUCACACCCAACUUGUUAAACCGCCUACGCGCCCUUUACGCCCAGUAAUUCCGAACAACGCUAGCUCCCUUCGUAUUACCGCGGCGGCUGACAC
rnacentral:misc_RNA from 1 species